rnacentral:rRNA from 1 species
UACGUAUGGUCCUAGCGUUGUCCGGAAUAACUGGGCGUAAAGGGUGUGUAGGCGGAUAUCCGUGUCAGGUGUGAAAUCCCUCGGCUUAACUGGGGCAUUGCGCUUGAAACUGGAUAUCUGGAGCGUGUCAGGGGUAAGCGGAAUUCCCGGAGUAGCGGUGAAAUGCGUAGAUAUCGGGAAGAACACCGGUGGCGAAGGCGGCUUACUGGGACAUGGCUGACGCUGAGGCACGAAAGCGUGGGGAGCGAACGGGAUUAGAUACCCCGGUAGUCCACGCUGUAAACGAUGGAUACUAGAUGUCAGUUACAUUAAAGUAGUUGGUAUCGAAGUUAACACGAUAAGUAUCCCGCCUGGGGAGUACGGUCGCAAGAUUAAA